rnacentral:rRNA from 1 species
GUAGGGGGCAAGCGUUAUCCGGAUUUACUGGGUGUAAAGGGAGCGCAGGCGGUGCGGCAAGUCUGAUGUGAAAGCCCGGGGCUCAACCCCGGGACUGCAUUGGAAACUGUCGCGCUCGAGUGUCGGAGGGGUAAGUGGAAUUCCUAGUGUAGCGGUGAAAUGCGUAGAUAUUAGGAGGAACACCGGUGGCGAAGGCGGCUUACUGGACGACAACUGACGCUGAGGCUCGAAAGCGUGGGGAGC